rnacentral:rRNA from 1 species
UACGUAGGGGGCAAGCGUUGUCCGGAAUUAUUGGGCGUAAAGCGCGUGUAGGCGGCCAGAUAAGUCCGCUGUGAAAUCUCGAGGCUCAACUUCGAGCUGUCGGUGGAAACUGUCUGGCUAGAGUCCGGAAGAGGAGAAUGGAAUUCCUGGUGUAGCGGUGAAAUGCGCAGAUAUCAGGAAGAACACCCGUGGCGAAGGCGGUUCUCUGGGACGGUACUGACGCUGAGACGCGGAAGCGUGGGGAGCGAACAGG